UGGGGAAUUUUGGACAAUGGGGGAAACCCAGAUCCAGCCAUCCCGCGUGUGCGAUGAAGGCCUUCGGGUUGUAAAGCACUUUUGGCAGGAAAGAAACGUCAUGGGUUAAUACCCCGUGAAACUGACGGUACCUGCAGAAUAAGCACCGGCUAACUACGUGCCAGCAGCCGCGGUAAUACGUAGGGUGCAAGCGUUAAUCGGAAUUACUGGGCGUAAAGCGUGCGCAGGCGGUUCGGAAAGAAAGAUGUGAAAUCCCAGAGCUCAACUUUGGAACUGCAUUUUUAACUACCGGGCUAGAGUGUGUCAGAGGGAGGUGGAAUUCCGCGUGUAGCAGUGAAAUGCGUAGAUAUGCGGAGGAACACCGAUGGCGAAGGCAGCCUCCUGGGAUAACACUGACGCUCAUGCACGAAAGCGUGGGGAGCAAACAGG
rnacentral:rRNA from 1 species